rnacentral:lncRNA from 1 species
AUCGGUGUCGAAAAUCCCUUACAGCCAAUUUUAGGGUUCUGGCAUGAUGGCGCUGUUGUGCUCCGACACCGGCUCCACUGCCCAUGGUAGUAGUUCAUCUUGGCUUAGCCGGUUUUAGUUGAUUUUGACCUUUUUCAUUCGAUUUUACAUGUAUUCCUGCAAAAAAAUACGUUAAAUGGUCUCGGUUGGCCAGAAAUCACAAGAAACUGAACCUACCGGUAGAAGGGGGGGAUUUCCAGAUGUGGCGACUUUGCUGAUUCUCCUUCGUAGUUGGGAUUUCUUCUUCAACUAACCUGCACAAAAAAGGAUGAUGAACACAAUGAUAAAAAAUUUAUGUGAAAUGGAAAACGGAAAGGGGCUCAUUGAAGGAGUUUUAGGAUUUUGGCAUCAGCGGCUCUGUCGGACUUUGUCUACGAUUUCUAGCUCACCCGCCAUCUCUUUUGUUUCGAUAUAGCCACAGAGAGACGCGGAAUCGAAUUCCGAGCGGGUAUGAGAGAAUUUUACCUUUUUUUGGCUGUUGACGGUGACUCCGGUGCGGCAGCGACCGGAUGUUGGUCUCUUUCUCUGGCUGUUGGUCCUUUUUCUCCAGUGAGGGUAGGUACGGCUAGGGUUAGUGUUCCCCUGUGACGCGAUGUUUAGAUACUCAUCCCGCAUCUAUCUAGGCCAUCUAUUUGCAUCGACGUGGAGCGAGGAAAAUCAUCCGAUUGUUGCCUAUUUAGGCCGAUCACGCGGACGAAUCUGGAUCGUUUAUCGCGAUUGAUCUCAUCCGUCCGAUCGCGCUUAAGGAGGGAAUGCAUCUGAAUGGCUCACACACAGGAGAUUGAAUUUAGGUCCUCGGAUCUUUGGGCAUGCAGAUCGCCCGCGUGGCGUUGAUGUCAGCGUGUUUUGCCACGCAGUGUGCUUUGGUUCGUCAUGGCUGCUGACUAGACUAUCUCACGUGGCCGAAUUUUUCUUUUUUGUAUUUUGACCCUUUAUUUUUAAUU